GCAAGCCCUAUUAGACUACCGUUUCCUUCCGCUGAAUCAGUUUACACCCGAAGGACUUCUUGCUUCACGCGGAAUUGCUGGAUCAGGGUUGCCCCCAUUGUCCAAAAUUCCCCAGUGCUGCCUCCCGUAGG
rnacentral:rRNA from 1 species